GACGAACCGUGCGAACGUUGUUCGGAAUCACUGGGCUUAAAGGGCGCGUAGGCGGCUUGCCAAGUCCGGGGUGAAAGCCCCCAGCUCAACUGGGGAAGGGCCUCGGAUACUGGCGAGCUCGAGGGAGGUAGGGGUCGAGGGAACUUCUGGUGGAGCGGUGAAAUGCGUUGAUAUCGGAAGGAACGCCGGUGGCGAAAGCGCUCGACUGGAUCUCUACUGACGCUGAGGCGCGAAAGCUAGGGGAGCAAACGGG
rnacentral:rRNA from 1 species